CAAUCUAAGGCCAUGCCUUGCGUUGGCGGAGUCCGUUGGAGGACCCGCCGAAACAUCUGGGCGCUCCCCCAGUCUUCCUUUUGUGUAGCAAGUCAAUCGCUUUUGGGGACCGGAGGGACCAGCCGAUUCCACGA
rnacentral:misc_RNA from 1 species